UUGUCUGUACUGGAGGAGACUGAAGUCCUCUGUAUACAUAGAAGAGGUACAACACAAGUAGCAACAAUGCAGGCUUCACCACAGUGCCCCAGCAAUGUCUUUUAGAUUGAUGCAGACAGACUGCCUUUAGUGAUGAGAGGAUAUUUCAAUUCUCAAGCCCAUCAAUCCAUGUCUUUU
ensembl:misc_RNA